AUUGAACGCUGGCGGCAGGCCUAACACAUGCAAGUCGAACGAGUGGCGCACGGGUGAGUAAUGUCUGGGAACCUGCCCGAUGGAGGGGGAUAACUACUGGAAUCGGUAGCUAAUCCCGCAUACCAUCGGAUGUGCCCAGAGGGGAUUAGCUAGUAGGUGGGGUAAAGGCUCACCUAGGCGACGAUCCCUAGCUGGUCUGAGAGGAUGACCAGCCACACUGGAACUGGGACACGGUCCAGACUCCUACGUGAGGCAGCAGUGGGGAAUAUUGGACAAUGGGCGCAAGCCUGAUGCAGCCAUGCCGCGUGUAUGAAGAAGGCCGUCGGGUUGUAAAGUACUUUCAGCGGGGAGGCGUUACCCGCAGAAGAAGCACCGGCUAACUCCGUGCCAGCAGCCGCGGUAAUAC
rnacentral:rRNA from 1 species